GGGUCAGUAGGUUGGUCGUGCCACCGGUACGUACUGGUCUCACUGAUUCCUCCUUCCUGAAGAACCGUAAUGCCAUUAAUUUGGUGUUGCGGGGAAACAGGACUGUUACUUUGAAAAAAUUAGAGUGUUUAAAGCAAGCUAACGCUUGAAUGCAUUAGCAUGGAAUAAUGAAAUAGGACGACCGAUCCUAUUUUGUUGGUUUCUAGGAUUGACGUA
rnacentral:rRNA from 1 species